UACGAAGGGGGCUAGCGUUGUUCGGAAUCACUGGGCGUAAAGGGCGCGUAGGCGGCUUUAUAAGUCGGGGGUGAAAGCCUGUGGCUCAACCACAGAAUUGCCUUCGAUACUGUAGAGCUUGAGACCGGAAGAGGUAAGUGGAACUGCGAGUGUAGAGGUGAAAUUCGUAGAUAUUCGGAGGAACACCAGUGGCGAAGGCGACUGCCUGGACAAAGACUGACGCUGAGGUGCGAAAGCGUGGGGAGCAAACAGG
rnacentral:rRNA from 1 species